CUUCCCUGCAUAAAGACGAGUUAGUUUGGUCCAUGCUUCAUGAGAUGUUUUACAGGAAGCAAACAGCGGCGUGAUGGUGGUGGAGGUGGGAGCUAGCAAGGCAUGAAGGAUCAAUUUAUCUUGGCGAAUCCAGUGGGAAUUCAUUGCUUUGGAAGUGGCCAAAUUUUCUUCAUCAAUGAUAGGGUAUUGAAGAUCGCCGGUAACAAAAUUCAUGAGAUCAUAGCCAAUAAGCAAUGCUUCAAACUGGGCUCUCCAUUGUGGAAAGGUAGAUGGCGUAAGUUUCUCAUUGAUGAUGUUGGCAGCAUUAAUGGUGAUAAUAGGGGUAUUAGAGGGUGAGGAAGAAGGGGCUCCAAUAGGGGAAGUCAUUGCCAAGGAUGAUGAAAGGCCUUCUUUGUAUGGCUUCCCUGCUGCUUGAACUUUAUCUUAUGUGUAGGCUGUGAUUUCUUAUGGUCGAGAGGAAACUUCUCAAUGUCAAUGGAAGAAUUUGAGUUCUCACACCAUCCUCGUAUAAUUACAUGACCCGCUCACUGUCAAACUAGGGCCAUCAACAUUUGCAAUACAUGAGUUGCACUUACAUGAUGUGAACUUGAGAGAAUUGCUGAUUAGAUUUGCAAAUAUUUGAACAGCUCUAGCAGAGUCUCCUCGAACUAAUUUUGGUAUAUUAUCUAAACAGGAAACAGAGAGAGUGAAAAUCCACAUCAGAAACAGACAGUUAUAGUUAAAAAUGAUAAGCUUUGACCAUUAUCUGAGUUGUCUUCAUCUGAGAUUUAAGGUCAUACCGGAGAGAUCCAAAACAGUUUCCACAUUGUGGUUAAUGCACUGCACAGAGAACAUAUCAACAAGUCCUUCAAGUUCUCUCCCCAAAUCAAAUUCUGCAUCUUCCAACACCAGCUUCCCAGAUUCAACCUAUACGGUAUAUUUUUAAUUUCAUUUCAGGAGUGCACCAGGUAGAACAAGUUAUGUGAUUUCGAGUUUUAUUUAAUCACAAAUUCAUAAUGUUUCUGUAACAAUUAAAAUUGAAGAAGUAUAUAUUAUUGGAAACCUCCUCGACAAACAUCAGGUUCAUACA